AGCUCCAUUAGCGUAUAUUAAAGUUGUUGCAGUUAAAAAGCUCGUAGUUGGAUUUCGGUUCGGGUCGGGGCGGUGGCGUCGCCAGACGUCUACCUCCCGGCCGGUCUCUCUUCUCGAAGACGGCGAGUGCCUUUCGCCGGGUGCACGUCGGGACUCGGGACGUUUACUUUGAAAAAAUUAGAGUGUUCAAAGCAGGUAGUAUAUGUGCCGGAAUACAUGAGCAUGGAAUAAUGGAACAGGACUACGGUCACUGCACUUUUCCGUUGGUUUCGAAGGCCGAAGUAAUGAUUAAGAGGGACAGUUGGGGGCAUCCGUAUUUCGCAGUUAGAGGUGAAAUUCUUGGAUCUGCGAGGGACGAACGAGUGCGAAAGCAUUUGCCAAGAGUGUUUUCAUUAAUCAA
rnacentral:rRNA from 1 species